rnacentral:rRNA from 1 species
UGGGGAAUAUUGCACAAUGGGCGAAAGCCUGAUGCAGCAACGCCGCGUGAGUGAUGAAGGCCUUCGGGUUGUAAAAGCUCUGUCUUUUGGGACGAUAAUGACGGUACCAAAGGAGGAAGCCACGGCUAACUACGUGCCAGCAGCCGCGGUAAUACGUAGGUGGCAAGCGUUGUCCGGAUUUACUGGGCGUAAAGGAUGCGUAGGCGGAUUUUUAAGUGAGAUGUGAAAACCCUAAGCUUAACUUGGGGACUGCAUUUCAUACUGGAAAUCUAGAGUGCGGGAGAGGAGAAUGGAAUUCCUAGUGUAGCGGUGAAAUGCGUAGAGAUUAGGAAGAACACCAGUGGCGAAGGCGAUUCUCUGGACCGUAACUGACGCUGAGGCAUGAAAGCGUGGGUAGCAAACAGGAUUAGAUACCCUGGUAGUCCACGCCGUAAACGAUGAGUACUAGGUGUAGGAGGUAUCGACCCCUUCUGUGCCGCAGUUAACACAAUAAGUACUCCGCCUGGGAAGUACGAUCGCAAGAUUAAAACUCAAAUGAAUUGACGGGGUCAUAGCUGUUUUCC